CUUCUAAGUUACUGAAAAGCUUAUAACACUUGAAGCUGAGAGUAUAUUUGUAUGAGUACUUCUUUUUUCACAGUAGAUGUGAGUUCAAUACAACUUCUAUUGUAGCUUUUCACUUUCCUUUCCUGCUCCUCUAAAGUAAAAAGGGUAGCUCGGUGCACUAAGCUCCCGCUAUGAGCAAAGUCCGGAGAAUGGUCGGACCACAAGGGUCUAUUAUAUGCAGCCUUACCUUACAUUUAUGCAAGAGAUUAUUUCCACAGCUCGAACUCAUGACCUCCUGGUCACAUUACAGUAAUUUUAUCAGUUACGCCAAGGCUCCCUUCUUCCCGCACCUUUAAUGUAAUAGGAAUUUUUUUUUAAAAAUUUGAAAGUAUUAGGCAUGGGAUAACAGUUGUCUUUUUUCACUUAAAUAAAUGUAGGAUAUAAUAUAAGAAGAGGAAAGUAAGCAGAGAACCGAGUCAGUGUUACCUGCUGUGGUGACUUUUAAGUCUUGAAGUUUGUUAAUGCCUCCCAGCUCACAUACAUAUAAAGACUCAUAAGAUGGCAAAUCAUAUAUAGCUUUUCUAUCUCUUUCAAUGGCGCCAAUCAAGCUAGCUCUAACAUGAAACCAUCCCAACUCAUGUAUAGAAUCUCUCCUUGUACUCAUCAUUACACUUCACUUAUGGCUAACUUUUUCAGUAACUUCAUCUUCAUCUACACCUCAAAACAUACCAUAAAAGUAUCCUUAACCUUAAGCAAAAUCCUUCCAUUCUUGAACUAAUUCCAACAUUUACAAGUCAUAUUGUGGUAGGAUGAAAAAUAUGAUUCCUGCUUGUUUUAGUAUUCCUCAUUCUGGUCUUAACACUACUACUAAUACUACUUCACAAGUGCCUCAAAACCUUGUUACAUGUAUUUACCAAGCUCAGAUUUGUGACUCACCACUUUAUCUUACACUCACUUGGUCCAAGAACAUAUUUUCUCAUUCUUUAUUAAUCCAUGCACCUGAUCUUUUCUCCAUCACCAUUCCUCUUCACCAAUCUUCCUUUGCAUUAUUCAAAGC
rnacentral:lncRNA from 1 species